rnacentral:pre_miRNA from 11 species
AAAGUGGAUUGCAGCCAAGGAUGACUUGCCGGCACUUGGCAUUAGGCACCAUCGAUCAUCUUCCCGGCAAGUUGUUCCUGGCUACAUUCUGCUCUSU